CUGAAUUGUUGACUCCAAUUCUCUGCCUCUUCCUCUUGACCUUGGGGAGUGGUACCAGCUGAAAGCUCUCAAGCCCGCAAGACUGAGUCUCCUUGCAAAUGGUUUGACCAGCCCGCUGGGUGCUCCCGGGCCUUCCAUUCAUCUUACUUAGAAGUCAUUUGGCUUGUUUGUUGAACAGGCAUUUUAAUACUGAGUUCUCCCUCGGGCUCUGCAGGGAAAAUCAGUGAUGAACUGUGAGCCAUGGGACACGCAUGGCGUGUGCAUGGCCUCACAGCUGAGUCGCUGUCUGCACCGCAUGAUUUAAGCUUUACUGUAAGAGCACGGUUGGCCCCAAAUAUUUCUUCUGCCUGAGUGUCACGGCCCUGAACUCCUCUCCAGCCUGGUAGUCACCGUUUUGACUUGUGGAAUUUUCCACAACCAGUUUCGAAUCUCAGGGUGGGCUGCCGAUCACUAGAUUCCCCUCAGCUGUCACUUCUCGCUCCCCACACACAACCUCUCCUCAUCAGGCUCAGGGUUGCAAACUAACUGAGCAGUUCAAGGAAAGCUUCUUUGGGAAGAACAUCCGAUAGGGAAGCAGAACACACGCGUACCAAAUCAAACCUAUGUUUCUUUUAGAGAAUCUGAAGAGAUGGAGCUCCCGUGACUCCCUGGGCGUGGAGACUGCAGUUGCUGAGUCUUCCAAGAAGCACGAGGGAGCCAAGGAGCUUGUGUCCAUGGUCUUAGUAAGUUUCAAGAAGAUGAACUGUUGA
rnacentral:lncRNA from 1 species